UACGAAGGGGGCUAGCGUUGCUCGGAAUCACUGGGCGUAAAGGGUGCGUAGGCGGGUCUUUAAGUCAGGGGUGAAAUCCUGGAGCUCAACUCCAGAACUGCCUUUGAUACUGAAGAUCUUGAGUUCGGGAGAGGUGAGUGGAACUGCGAGUGUAGAGGUGAAAAUUCGUAGAUAUUCGCAAGAACACCAGUGGCGAAGGCGGCUCACUGGCCCGAUACUGACGCUGAGGCACGAAAAGCGUGGGGAGCAAACAGGG
rnacentral:rRNA from 1 species